AUUGAACGCUGGCGGCAGGCCUAACACAUGCAAGUCGAGCGGGGUUUUCGGACCUAGCGGCGGACGGGUGAGUAAUGCGUAGGAAGCUGCCCGAUAGAGGGGGAUACCAGUUGGAAACGACUGUUAAUACCGCAUAAUGUCUACGGACCAAAGUGUGGGACCUUCGGGCCACAUGCUAUCGGGUGCGCCUACGUGGGAUUAGCUAGUUGGUGAGGUAAUGGCUCACCAAGGCGACGAUCUCUAGCUGGUUUGAGAGGAUGAUCAGCCGCACUGGAACUGGGACACGGUCCAGACUCCUACGGGAGGCAGCAGUGGGGAAUAUUGGACAAUGGGCGCAAGCCUGAUCCAGCCAUGCCGCGUGUGUGAAGAAGGCCUUCGGGUUGUAAAGCACUUUCAGCGAGGAGGAAGGGGUGUGUGUUAAUAGUACACACCUUUGACGUUACUUGCAGAAGAAGCACCGGCUAACUCUGUGCCAGCCGCCGCGGUAAAAC
rnacentral:rRNA from 1 species